GGGAAAGUGGCUCAGUGGUAGAGUGCUUGCCUUGCAUGCAUUAGGCCCUGGGUUCGAUUCCUCAGCACCA
rnacentral:tRNA from 1 species